UUCUACGAGCCACAGAUAUGUCCGAGGUUGACAUUUGUACCAAAGUGGCGUAUCACAUUCACAUUAUGUGCUCAUUAGCCGCCUGUUAUGUCAGGAGGUGUAGAGGGAGGUGAUGACAGCGUAUGUUACAGCCAGCAAGGCUCGAAUCAUAUCACUAGACAUUUUAAUGGAAACCUGGAUAUUUCCAGAUGUUUUGUUCACAUUAACAGCAGGUGUUUUUUGAGACCUGUGGACAUUUCCAGCAGUUUAUGUGGCAAACAUAACCGGAUAUUUUUCCCAGGAGGUUUGACCGUCUCCAUCCUUGAUUGUGGCAACCAAAACAGGUGGUGCGUUUAGAUCAUCUGGAUUAAUGAAGCGAGUACAGCUGGACUCCAAAUCUGCUCUUCUUUCAUCUCCACUUUUUUCAUUCCUUCGCUCUCUCCUCCCAUAUUUCCUCUGCUCCUCCGUCGAUCUUUUUCAGUAAAUCCGUUCUUCCCCUCUCCCCUGAGGUCACAUGUGUUCUGCAGUUAUUCCAGCCAUCGCUUUCUGUUUUACGAACCUCCACAUCUUCAUCCUCCUCGCUGCCCCGGGGGCCACGCAGCUGUGAAUUAAGAAGCUCGCUGACCUCCAGCCACUGAUCAUCACAAGGGGAGAAGAACAGAGAGGAACACGUUGAUCUGUCAGGAUGAAGUCAGCCUCUGAAAGCUGACAUGGAAAUGAGCUUCAACACCGGGAUCCUCCAACGGACAAUCAGAGAAAUGAGCUGCGUUACGCAGUUCUGUACAUUUGUUAUGUCAGCAAAUUCUUAAUUAAUGUCACCUUUAACCUUCUGACACAAAUGUACAGUUAUAACGGCUGACGUGUGUUGAGUGAGACGAUUUAGUUCCCUGAGCACAUUAAAAAGGAAUUUAGAUGAUAUUUCGCUCUAUUUAUGAUAAACGGCACCAAAAUAUGGUAUAAGGGGCACACCGGACCAGAGGCUGCAGAAAUGAGUCUUAACAACCCAGAAAUACGUAUACGCAUCUUUAAACUUCUGGUUUAUCUUGAAGUCAAUGGUUUUCAGAUAAAUGUCUGAAAUAACGUCUGUUAUUAUUACAGGU